rnacentral:rRNA from 1 species
UACAGAGGGGGCAAGCGUUAUUCGGAAUUAUUGGGCGUAAAGGGCGCGUAGGCGGCUUGGCAAGUGGAUUGUGAAAUCCCUCGGCUUAACCGAGGAACUGCCGUCCAAACUGCUUCGCUUGAGACCGGGAGAGGUGAGUGGAAUUCCCAGUGUAGCGGUGAAAUGCGUAGAUAUUGGGAGGAACACCAGUGGCGAAGGCGGCUCACUGGACCGGUACUGACGCUGAUGCGCGAAAGCGUGGGGAGCAAACAGG